UAUAAUAUGUUUUACCCGCCGUAGACAGUUUGGUGCCCCUUUAGGGCUUAAUGGCCAGUCAGCCGCCAGCCGAGGCCGGAGUAUUGACCCCAAAGCGUUUGCUUUACGGGCCUCUGGCAUGCUGUUCUCGCGCCGGAGGCUUUUUUGGUGCUUGG
rfam:Peptococcaceae bacterium BRH_c8a BRHa_1002412, whole genome shotgun sequence.